rnacentral:rRNA from 1 species
CGGACGGGUGAGUAACACGUGGAUAACCUACCUAUAAGACUGGGAUAACUUCGGGAAACCGGAGCUAAUACCGGAUAACAUGUUGAACCGCAUGGUUCAACAGUGAAAGACGGUCUUGCUGUCACUUAUAGAUGGAUCCGCGUCGCAUUAGCUAGUUGGUAAGGUAACGGCUUACCAAGGCAACGAUGCGUAGCCGACCUGAGAGGGUGACCGGCCACACUGGAACUGAGACACGGUCCAG